AGUAAAAUGCCUGACUAAAGGAAUAUUUUGAUAGAAUAGAUUAUACAAUUUUUUUUGUUUUUACUA
rnacentral:tRNA from 1 species